GGAGGAUUGGGUGUGUGCGACGAUUUUGCCGCCCAGGGGCUUGAACCAUUGUUCGGCGUGUGCAACGAUUUCGCCGCCAGAUGGUUAAGCAAGUUUGUGGAUCCUACCGCCUGUUGACUGAACCACUGUAGUGGCGUGUGCGACGAUUUCGCCGCCGGGUGGCUAAGUCAUACACCUAGGCCGUUGUUGGGUGAGGUGCGAUCCGUUCGCCGCCAGACGGCUAGGACAGGAGUAGGGUGAGCUGUUGCCAGCUGAGGUGCAUGUGAGAGUUCCUUCACCUCGAGCUAGACAGUGCGCGGACUAUCCGCGAUUGAUUGACUCAAGACCGAGUCGGGUGGCUAGAUGACUAAGGUAAAGUAACCUUAGGAAAGAAUCGCCAGUGAGCACGAUAUGAUAGAGAAUAAAGAAUAACAAUAAAGAAUAGCUAAUGACCGUAAAUAGCUAAUAAAGAACGGCUACAAGUAAAGAAUGGUUAAAGAUAUAAAGUAGGAUCGGUAGAUCUACUUGUUACAUAGUUGCAUGAUUUACAUAUUGCAUAUCGCGAGGCAAGGUAUGGUUUUAUUAAUUGUAUCAUCGAAUAUUUAUCUAUCUGUUCAGUUUACUAACCUGCAGUUGCCUCCUUUGGACCUNGACGGACACGAUGCGAUUUGGGUGAUAAUGGAUCGACUGACGAAGUCGGCUCAUUUCUUACCGAUUCACACUACGUGGUCGGGAGACAAGCUAGCUCAAGUGUAUCUCGACGAGGUUGUGAGACUUCAUGGGAUUCCGGUAUCAAUUGUAUCGGAUCGAAACCCCAGGCUCACAUCCUACUUUUGGAAGAGCCUGCAGGAUGCGCUAGGCACAUGGCUUGACUUUAGCACAGCGUUUCAUCCUCAGAGUGAUGGUCAGUCGGAGCGGACGAUACAAAUCCUUGAGAAUUUACUCCGAGCGUGUGUGCUAGAUUACAAAUGAGGAUGGCAUGAUUUCUUGCCAAUGGUGGAGUUCGCGUAUAAUAACAGUUAUCAAGAGAGCAUCGCGAUGGCGCCAUUUGAGGCACUAUAUGGUCGAAAGUGUCAUUCUCCUAUUCAUUGGAGCGACGUGGGCGAGAGAACGGCUCUUGGCCAGGAUGUAGUGCGGGAGGCGGAGGAGAAAGUCCGCCUUGCCCGUCAACGGUUAGCGACGGCGCAAUCAAGGCAGAAAAGCUAUGCCGACAAGCGAAGAAAGGACUUAGAGUCCGCGGUUGGAGACCGCGUAUUUUUAAAAGUGUCACCAAUGCGAGGAGUCAAGCGUUUUGGGGUCCGCAGGAAGUUAAGUCCCCGUUAUGUUGGACCAUUUGAGAUACUAGAGCGUGUGGGUGCGGUAGCGUGCAAGCUCGCACUACCACUGAGACUCGCGGGAGUUCACAACAUGUUUCAUGUGUCAAAUCUCCGAAAGUAUAUUCGCAACUCGACACAUGUAUUGGAGUACGAGCCCGUGAAGCUACGUGAAGAUAUGACUUAUGAGGAGUACCCAGUGUGCAUCCUCGAUAGAGAAGAAAGAAAGCUACGAAGUCACAGAAUUCCAUAUGUAAAGGUUCAAUGGAGCAAUCAUGCUGUGCGAGAAGCCACUUAGGAGCUCGAAGAAUCAAUGCGGAAGGAGUAUCCGCAUUUAUUUGAGUCGACAAGUUAAGGUAUGCGUAAUUUCGCGGACAAAAUUAUUUUAAGGGGUGAAGAAUGUAAUAUACAAAAAAUUCGAAAAAUAAAUGUCGAACUUUAGUCAAAAUUGACCAAAGUAUGAGGUUGGUACACUUCGGAAAGUCCGAAGGCGUUAAAAUGAGUAAAAGUGCAUUGCGGGAGGUUUUCGAGAGCUAAAGAAUUAAAAAUCUGCAAACUGCAGUUUUUGGACUCUCGGGGACCGGUCCCUGGUAGGAGAGGCCGGUCCUCGAACGCGUGAGAAAUGAGAAAAGCUUAAAAUCGGCUAAGUCCCAGAAAACCAGCUCUCGGGAACCGGUCCCUGCGGGGAUAGACAGGUCCCCGAGAGACCGGUCCCUCUGGGAGAGACUGGUUGCCUCGUGCGAAAGCCCCGCUGAGCUGCGGGAGGGCUCUCUGGAAUCGGUCCCAUGUCGGGGAGACCGGUCCCCGAGCACGAAAACUGCCCAGAUCUGGCAGUUCAAGAGAAUAAAAGCUGAGGGGUUUAUUUGCAAAAAUGCAACCCAUGGGUUAUGUUGAGGGGUUAUGAGGGCUCUUUCUCUCAUUCACACCCUCUCACAAUCUCUCCUCUCUUUCUCUCUCUAGAAGACAAGAAGGAGAAGAAGAAAGGAGAGGAAAAAAAGAGAAGAAGAAGAAGACAAAGGUAGUGGAGAAAAAGACCAAGGAGUGGAGCAACUCUUUCUUCUUCCUCUUUGGAGCAAAGAAAGGGAAAGAUUUUAGAUAAGCUUUGACCCUUUCCAUGGUAAAACCCUAGAAUGAGAACUAAAUGACCUAGGAAUGGUUUUGGUAGAGCCUUUUGGGUAUUUCAAGCUUUCUUUUGCUUGUGGAUGAGAUCAAAACUAUGGAAUGGGUAAAUAUGGUGAAGCUUAGAGGUGAGCUUCAACCUCUCUCAUGGUAGAAUCCAAACUAGAGUUUGGAUUGAGCUAAGAAUGGUUUAAAUGGAACCUUUAGAUGAUUUGAAGCUUACUUUUGCUUCUCUAAGAGAUCAAAACCCUAGUUUUGAUGUGGGAUGAGGUAGGGCACCCAAAUUUGGGGCUUUUGCUUGUGAGGGUUCCAAAGUGAAAUUGAUCCUCUAGAAACCUAAUUGGGAGUAUUUCCGAUGCGUUGGUACGCUCGAAUUGACGUUACGAAAAGCCUAUGUAAAGUUAUGAGCAAAAAAGCCUAAUUUGGCUUCGUUUUGCCGCAGGUAGCGAACUAGGCGGCUAAAAAUCUCGAGAAAAUCACCGUAGCGCCUAAGUAAGCCUACAAGGUGGGUGGUGCUCUCCAAACUUGUUGGAAUUUUUUUUAUAUCUAAUGUGUCACUUCUUGAGCAUACAUAUGUAUAUUGUUGCAUGCAUAGUAGGGUAAUGGAUUAUAAAUAUGUGAAUGUUUGCAGUUUGUGAGUUCAAGUGCAUCAUGAGAUGGUUGAGAAUCAAUGAGAAUGUAAUAACCCUAUAUGUGCAUGUAAAAGAGAUAAGAACUUAGUGAAGUUAAAGAACAAGUGACAUAUGACAUGAGGACAAUGAAAUGUGAGAAUGAAAGCUAAAGAUAGCAAAAAGAUUGACGUAAAGAAUACUAGAGCUAGUGUGUGGCAUCAAAGAGAACAAAUGUGGUAUAAAGAAUGAUAAAAACUAGAGUUAGCAAAUGUGUGGCAAUAAAGAAUGACAAUUGCUAGAGUUAGCAACAAAAUGUGGCAUAAAGAACAAUGACUAGAGAUAGCAAUAAAUGUGUGGCAUAAAGAACACUAGAGUUAGUGUAAAGACGUGAUGAAAGUAAAAAAUGUAAAGAACACUAGAGUUAGUGUAUUGACAUGGUCGAAAAUAAAGAAUGCAAAGAACAUGAGAUUGACACAAUGAUAUUCAACCUUAGAGUUAAAGGUCAUUUGUGCAUAAUUUCUUAGAGUUAAGGAACAGAUUGAACUGAAUAUCCUUAGAGUUAAGGAUUGAUCAUACUCGCUAUAAGUCCUUGCCUGAGGGUGGUCGCUCCCCCUCGGGCGAUGCGCUCCGGAGUUUGUCAUCAUUGGGUUGAGUUACUCAGAGGACGGUCCUAGCGGGAGAAAGCUGAGGGCCCGCGAUCAUGGAUUUUGAGUUGGUGAGUUAAGGAGGCGAUACCUCCGGGUUAGCCUAGAGAUUGAACGAAAGAACAAGAACAAAGAAUAAAGAACAAAGACCAAGCAUUCUUCAUGAGUUAUAUUGAGCACCAUUUUUUAUCACAUUGUUCAGGCAUAUUAGUUACAUUUGUAUAGUUGGCUACUUUUCAGCUUAUUCUUUCUAUUAUGCCUGAGUUAGACCUAGUGGGAAAGUCGGUGAGAUUGGGGUCGAACCCACUGGGAACUUCGUUGUAGUUCUCACCCCACUAUUUCCACAGAGUCGGGACCGAGCGAGCCGGCGAGCGACCGCGGUAAAGGUAUCGCGCCAUAGACAGUGACUACCCGAGUCGGGUUUACAUUUUGUAGUAGCAUUCCCGUACUUCAUCUUUGUGUUUGAUGGGUUGAGAUGUAAAAGAAAAAGAAUGUAAUGUUUAUCUCGAGGAGAAUGUGAUGUUAAAAGAAAUGAUGAAAAGUAUGUAAAGAACUACGAAUGUACAUGUUAAAUGCAAUGUAUGUGAUCAAAAGAGAAUCAUAGUACUUGUGUAGAUAUUUAGUUUCCUUUCUUUCACUCAUGGCUAUUGCUUACCCUCGUGUAAGCCGUUUGUGUAUGUUUCCGCUAGUGCUUUUCUCUGCUCGAAAAUGUACAGGUGAUGAGCCUUGGGCGGGGAGGAAAAACUCUGUCCGUUCGAUGUCUGUUUGACGUGCCCGGGCCGGCCCAAAUUGGUAUCGGUCUCGGGGCGUGACAUUUGACCUCACCGAAAUCGGUGGACUCCUCCUAUGUCUUCCUUAUGGUUUUAAGAUAUAUUUAUAUGCUUAUUCAUGCUCAAUAUGACAUGCUAGAAUUUAUGAAAACAUAAUACAUACAUGUUAUAUAUAGUAAAAUUUAAUGCUCUAUGUAGUAGAGGCAUACAUGUGGACAUGUACAUGAACUAGCAAUACUUGAUGAUUUUCUCUCUUAUGCAACCAUAGAAAGCAUGUUAGAGUAUGAAUGAUUGUAUAACUCUUUGGGGAUACCUAGUGAAUGGGUUAAAUAAGUGGUUAACUUACAUGAUGACAAUACUAUACUUGUUAUAGACAAGGUGAUUGGAACUUAGCAUUACUUGCAUGAUAAUAGUAUACUUGUUGUAGACAAGGUAAUUGCGACAUUGUGACAUAGUGCAUGAUAAGGUCUUCAGGAAGCUAAACUUGGUGCAUUCAACCUAGUUGAACAACUUGAAUUUGACAUUAUGACAUAAUAUCCGAUAUAAAGAUAUAGAUUAAAUUCCAUGUUUUAGACAUGAGGAAAUGAGAUUACAAAGUCUUUGGGGUAAACCCCAAUAGGGAUAAUUGCAUAUUAUACUAGUGGAAUGAAACUACUUGCAUCAUAAUGCUUCUACUCCAUGUAGUGGGGAUGUUAGUGGAAAGAUGUAUGCAUGACAUGCAUUGUGGUAAUUGUGGACAUAUCAUAACUCUUUUGCAUAUAACAUUAGUAAAUGUUUCACUUGACAAUUAUUGUAAUUGCAUGUUGAAAAUCUACUUGGAGACUUGAAUAAAAUAGUGAACUAUUCUAGGUAGGAUAAUGACAUACGGACUAUGCUUGCUUUAGGCAUUAUAUGUGUUGGUAGAGACAUACCACCCAAGUAGUUGUAAACAAGACAAGAUAUGAUAUAAAUAAUCUAGUACCCGACUGUCGAGUCGAUGUGUGAAAAUUCUAUGUUUUAGACAUGAUGAUUGAGUAUCCCAAAUUGUGGACCCUAUGCUAGGAUCACGCUUGUUUGUCCUUGUGCUCAUUCGCACAUACUUAUGAGGGUCGCUCUCUACAAGCCGGCUCUCCGGAGUUUAUCUUACGACGAUAGAUCGCCCGUGCGGGAUUAGGCACCGAAGUGGGAUGCCAUGGCUAGUGUCUCUUUUCUUGCAGGGAAAAUGACGACCACCACGGGGCCACUAAGGCACGGCACGAGCCCGGAUGUUACCACAUGUACGUUUCUUGUAAAUUGAGUAUUGAGACUUAACUUGACAUUGUACAUCACCAUAGUUGAUGCAUACAUAGUAGAUGUUCAUACUUGUGGUUUGCUAUCUUAUUUUACUACUUGAUGCAUUCAUAGUAGUUGGACAUUUUGUGGGACAUUAUAACAUUGACAACUUUAGUGGUAGUAAACCUACACUUAUAUGGUUUAGUAUAAUGCAUGGCUAGAAUUGUAAAGAAAAGCAUACUUUACUUUUUGUAGCAUAAUGGAUAUAUUGAACAUGCAUGUAAAUUGACAUUGGCAUAUAGUUGAUUGUGCAUGUAAAUUGACAUUGGCAUAUAGUUGAUUGUGCAUGUAAAUCGACAUUGGCAUAUAAUUGAUCAUAUGAAAUUAGAAUAUCAUGUACUUGAUAGUAAAUCCUUCAGUAGAGGCAUGACUAUGAAAUGAACAUGUUUAUUUACUUGUCAUUUAUAUAUGUUGUCUACUUACCCCUUUAUAGCAUGCCUCAGUUGACCUAGUGGUGUAUUUCACCACUUUCGGCGGCUUACCCACGAGGAACUAUUGUUUAAUAGUUCUCACCCCAAUUUGUUGUUGGUUUUUAUUUCAGAGCCUUCCGCGGCGGGAGAGACUAGGGAUCGUAGCAAGGGGUUAGCGACAAGCUAGAGCCCUACGAAGAUAUUUAGAUGAACCCGAUGUCAUCUUUCUUUUUGUAUUUGUGGAAAGAUGUAUUAUGUAUUUGAUUUAGAGAUAUUGUUAGACUUUUGGAUUUAGUCGUAUACUUUUUGUAUAUCUUGUGGAUCUCUUUGUGAUAGAUCAUUAGUGAUUUUUUAUUACUCGUUCUUAUAGCCUUAUUAGGACUUGAUCUUGUUCAUUCUUGUGUUAGUAGACGCCUUAUAUAUACAAGGACACGUUAAAGGAGUCGCUCUCAAACGCAUAUUGGUUGAUCCAGGAUCUGCAAUUAACAUACUUCCGCUUCAAACAUUGCGAGUAUUAGGGCAUUCGGUUGAUGAUCUUGAACUAGAAAAUGUCGUUAUUUCAGGGUUUAAUAAGUCUGAUGAACAUACCUUGGGUUCAAUCCGGUUAAUGCUCUCUUUACAAGAGCUAAAAACACUGAUGAGAUUUUAUGUUAUUGAUGUCGACACCUCUUACACAAUGUUACUAGGGCGACCCUGGAUCCCUGAGUUUCAAAUUGUGCCCUCGAUUCUUCAUCAAUGCCUCAAGUACAAAGAUGAACACGGCCGACAAAAGAGAAUUUCUAGGAAUCCGAACCCUUUCUCUUGGAAACUUUCCCAUUAUUCUGAUGCUCAAUUCUUUUUAGAAGCUGCUCCAUCAUCUUCAAGGUUAGCUUUUAAUCUAAACAAAAAGAAAUAUGCCAACAUUCCACCUCCAGCAAUUAAUAUGAUCAAUGCUAGCUCAUUUCGAACCUUUCAGCAAGAGAAAAAUGUUAAACGUGAUUGUCGCCAAAAUCUUAAUGAUCCCAUUUUAUUGGGGAGUGACUUCGAGGAUGAGAGUAGUACACAUUUUCAAACAAUGGCAAUUUUUGUGUCAAAAGUCCCGAUGAGCUACAAAAUUUUUCAUUCCCUCUUUCAAGUCGAAUGUCAACAACCAUAGAAGAUGUUUGUGUUCGAGUUAUCCGUUUGACUAUACCGGGGUGCAAACCUAUAUUGCUUUACAAGACUUCUAAAGAUGUGAGGUAUUCUGAACCCUUUCCAUUAGAAGAGGAUGAGGAAAUGUCAACAGUCGCCAUUGUAACAUACCAGAUUUUGGUAUAAAAAAAAAAAAUAAAAAUAGUGUGAGAAGCUAUUUUUAUUGGAUUUAAAGAAGUAAAAUAUAAGUCAGAAAUGACUUGUGCUGAAAUCGGAAUGAAAACAGAAGAUUUAGAAUUUUCUGUUGGAAACGGGCCAGACAAAUUAGCAGAAAAUGCACAGUCUCAGAAAAUUAUGAAAAUUGGAGGAUAAGUUAGAAAUAUUUUUAUGAGGUUAGAUUUAAAGUUUCAUAUUUUUCUGACACCCGUAGAGUGAGAAAUAAAAUCCGACAGCUAUCUGAUAAAGAUUACAGUUCGGUACAGUUUUCAGUGACCAAACAGGGUCGAAACUGAAAAAUUAAGAUAUAUUCUUACUCAGUACAUUAAACCGAGCCUGUCUGUUAAAUUUGAGCCCAAACGGACAUUCAGAAGGGCUCCAACUGUUCCGAACUGCUAAACUGCCCUAGAGUGAAUAGUGUUUUGGGGUGUAAUGUAUAAAGAAGCUUUUGCUUCUUCUCCUUCAGCCGACCACCAUGCACGCCACCACCAACCCGCAUACAUGGUGGGGAGAGAGAAAGCUCCUUUCUCUCUCUAGAUUUCUCUCUCAUUUUUCUAUAUUUCUCGCUCAAAUUCGCGGGGUUGGUGGAGAUGAUGCUUGCGAACGCGUUGGGAGCGAUGGAUCGAGCUUUUGCGCGGCCGUUGGAGCGGCGUGUUCUCGUCGUGGCGUUCACAUUGAGGUAAGCUUUUGAGAUUUGGCUUAAUCCUUUAUGCUUAGUGUUCUAAUAGCCUCUAAUGUGUUGAUUAGCAUGUUGAAUCCAUUUAAUUUGGGUUAAUUGGAGCAUGUGUAGAGGCUAGGCUUUUAAAAAUGGUAGAACCUUAGAGCUUUAAUUAUAUGCUCUAGGAAUGGGUUUAGAGGACUCUCUAUAUGAUAUCUACAUGCUAAUUGCUUAAAUCAUGAAUCAAUUUUGAAGCUUAUUACAAUAGUAGCAUGUUAGGGCUCCAAUUUUGGGGUUUUAUAAAAUGUAUGGGUUUGAUCUAAAUUGACCCUAUAUAAACCUAAUUGCUAGGUAAGCGAACGCGUUGGCAAAGUCGGUUCGGCGAUUCGUCGAGCCGUUGCGAAGUUAUUAAAGAAACGGACGUUUAGGCUUCGUUUUCGCCUGGAGGGCCGAGGCGACAUCGUAUACUCAUGAAAACGGAUUUGAAGCAUCGUGGCACAUAACCAAAGACCUUUAAUUUUCGGAUCGUGAAUUGGAGGCCGUUCGGGUUGUCGCGAGAGAGAUCGGGCCAAACCGGGUGCCGAGUGCCGCGGGAGGCCGAUUGCAAGUGUCGACAAGCAAUUGGAAUGCGAAAUGAGGUGGGUUGUGCUCACCGAAGCGACUAGGUCGCCUAUAUGUCUAAGAGUAAUGGUUUUCUAAUUGAUGCAUAUAGUCGAUGUUACUUACUGUUGAGAUAAAAUGCAUAAUGACAUAUAAUGUGUUAAAUGCUAGAUGAAUGCAUGAGUUAAUUGUUACAUGAAUGCAUGAAAAUAAUGUUAUAGUAAUAUGUUAGAGGUAAUAUGCAUGUUGAUAAAUUAUGGAACAUGUUGGAUGGCAUAUGAAUGGUUGGCAUAUAUAUGUAGACAUAUUGUGGAAUAUGAUGAAUGAGUGCAUGUUGAUUUAUUGUAGAAUAUACUAGAUGAAUGUAUAUUGACAUAUUGUGGAUUAUGUUAAAUGACACAUGCAUGUUGAACUUGGGUCGAUAAACUCUAGGUGAAUUAGAGAACUCGACAUUGGAAAACAAUGACAUAUGAACUAUGAUAUGUGACGUGGACAAUCUAUAUAUAUUAGAUCGAGUGGCAUAUGAUUAGUAUAGUGGAAACACUUAUGGCAUGUUGAACACUUAGAAAACAAGUGUGGCGUGAGUCCAAGAAUAUAGUAGUGUAUAUGACACAAGUGAUAGUAAAGAAUGAUGGAAAUAAUGACAUUUCAACCCUAGAGUUAGGGUCAUUUGAGCAUAGUCUUCCUAAAGUUAAGGAAUGAAUUGAACUCGACAUCUUCAAGAUUUUGGAUUUGAUCAUUGAUCAUACUCACCUUUAGUCCUUGCUCGAGGUUGUGGUAGCUCCCCCUCGGGCGAUGUGCUCCGGAGUCGACAUCACUGGGUUGUAGCGGUUAUCUCCCCAGAGGACG
rnacentral:lncRNA from 1 species